rnacentral:lncRNA from 1 species
CAACAGCAAUGAUAAAUAACCCCAGAGUUAACGAGGAAAUCAAUGAAUAAACCCCCAAAUCAAUGGAACAGUAAACUCUGCACUUUCAAAACCCAGAAAAUGCAAGUCACACAACCAACACCAAUUUGAAAUAGUCAAACUAACUCGAACAUCACAUAAACGAACAACCCAGCAAUUUAACUUUUAGUCCAUGACAAGAAGAAGAAAUCAGAACAGGUUUUUGGAUCAAACUUUUAAGUUUUAAGCUUAGAGAAUUGAUUGAAUUAACAACUCUCUCGUUUUCUAUCUUUUUCAGCUAUUUUUUUUCACCCCCCUCUGCUCUUUUUGAGUGAUAG